GUGUCAGCCGCCGCGGUAAUACGUAGGGUGCAGGCGUUAAUCGGAAUUACUGGGCGUAAAGCGUGCGCAGGCGGCUACUCAAGUCAGAUGUGAAAUCCCCGGGCUUAACCUGGGAACUGCGUUUGAAACUGGGUGGCUAGAGUGCGGCAGAGGGGGGUGGAAUUCCACGUGUAGCAGUGAAAUGCGUAGAUAUGUGGAGGAACACCGAUGGCGAAGGCAGCCCCCUGGGCCUGCACUGACGCUCAUGCACGAAAGCGUGGGGAGCAAACAGGAUUAGAAACCCUGGUAGUCC
rnacentral:rRNA from 1 species